UAGACUGACUUUUACAGAAAAUUUGCUGAAAAAAGGGGAUGAUGUUUGGAUGAAGCCGUGGAGACGGUGUGAACAUGUACUUUAGAUGUUACAGCUGGAGUGCUCUGAGAGUGUUUAUAGUGCUGUGAGUUUAACACUUCAUGACUGAGAGCAGAACAGAACACAAUCUUCAUCAUCACACAAGACAAAAGAACAACAAUGAACACAAUCACCUUCUUCAUCUGGACUCUGACUGUGUGUAUUCAAGGUUUCAGCGGACAGGUGACUGUGACUCAAACCCCUUCUGUAAAAACGGUUCAGAUUGGUGAAUCAGUCACUAUAAACUGUAAAACAAACACAGCAGUGAGCAAUGCCUGUCCAGGUUCAUAUACUUGUAUGGCCUGGUACCAGCAGAAACCUGGAGAAACUCCUAAACUCCUCAUAUAUUAUGCAACAAGACAUCAUACAGGAACUCCAUCUAGAUUCAGUGGCAGUGGAUCCAGAACUGAUUUCACUCUGACCAUCAGUGGAGUCCAGACUGAAGAUACAGGAGAUUAUUACUGUCAGAGUGCACACUCUAUCAACAGUAAAUAUGUGUUCACACAGUGAUAAAGAGUGGUAC